rnacentral:rRNA from 1 species
UACGAAGGGGGCUAGCGUUGCUCGGAAUCACUGGGCGUAAAGCGCACGUAGGCGGCUUUUUAAGUCAGGGGGUGAAAUCCUGGAGCUCAACUCCAGAACUGCCUUUGAUACUGGGAGUCUUGAGUUCGGGAGAGGUGAGUGGAACUGCGAGUGUAGAGGUGAAAUUCGUAGAUAUUAGGAAGAACACCGGUGGCGAAGGCGGCCCACUGCUCGAUACUGACGCUGAGGUGCGAAAGCGUGGGGAGCAAACAGG